rnacentral:rRNA from 1 species
UGCUUCCACUGGACGUGUUUUACCUUGUGUAAGACCUUUGGCUUGUGUGAAUAACCCAAGUCAGGGAGUUGCCAGUGGCAAGACCAUCUACCAAAACUUGAUCAAAAUACUACUGUCUGAAUCUUUUGCUUCAAUGAAAUAAAACUUUCAACAACGGAUCUCUAGGCUCUUGCAUCGAUGAAGAACGCAGUGAAAUGCGAUAAGUAAUGUGAAUUGCAGAAUCUCGUGAAUCAUCGAAUCUUUGAACGCACAUUGCGCCCUAUGGUAUUCCGUAGGGCAUGCCUGUCUGAGCGUCAGCUCCCCCCCACUCAAGUAUCUUUACUUUUUUGAUUCUUGGAAUGAUUUGGAGAGGUGUCUUGUCAUGUAGACGCCCUCCAGAAAUUCAUAGGCAGUAUGGUUUGCACCUGAACCAGACGUAAUAAUAAUAAAAUCGUUUGUUUGGGUAUGAUUGUGCUUGCCUUAACCCACCCAUUUCUUUGUUUGGGUGACCUCAGAUCAGGUAGGGAUACCCGCUGAACUUAAGCAUAUCAAU